rnacentral:lncRNA from 1 species
AGGCGAGGCGAGGCAAGAGAGAUCGUGCGGUAGAAUGGUUAGCGCUGAGGUGAAGGGUGCCUAUAAUGACUGAGCCCGAUGCUACGAAAGCUAUGGAUGCAUAAUUGGAUUUUUAAAAUUUCUUGUGGAGGGUAUCCGUCACUCACGAAAACAGGUUCGUCAUAACCAAUAUGCAUGUCCGACAGUCUGAUGCCUACCAAACCAAUCCUCAGUAUAUGCUAUAUGUAUGGAGUUAAUAAGCUUUUUCAUUAGAACUUUGUACGUAUGUCACUGCCAGAUGGGCUAUUAUG